UACAGAGGGGGCAAGCGUUGUUCGGAAUUACUGGGCGUAAAGCGCACGUAGGCGGCUUUGUAAGUUAGAGGUGAAAGCCCGGGGCUCAACCCCGGAAUUGCCUUUAAGACUGCAUCGCUAGAAUUGUGGAGAGGUAAGUGGAAUUCCGAGUGUAGAGGUGAAAUUCGUAGAUAUUCGGAAGAACACCAACGGCGAAGGCAGCUCGCUAGGACGGUACUGACGCUGAGACGCGAAAGCGUGGGGAGCGAACAGG
rnacentral:rRNA from 1 species